rnacentral:rRNA from 1 species
UACGUAGGUGGCAGGCGUUGUCCGGAAUUAUUGGGCGUAAAGCGCGCGCAGGCGGUCCUUUAAGUCUGAUGUGAAAUCCCGUGGCUUAACCACGGGCGGUCAUUGGAAACUGGGGGACUUGAGUGCAGAAGAGAAGAGCGGAAUUCCACGUGUAGCGGUGAAAUGCGUAGAGAUGUGGAGGAACACCAGUGGCGAAGGCGGCUCUUUGGUCUGUAACUGACGCUGAGGCGCGAAAGCGUGGGGAGCGAACAGG